rnacentral:siRNA from 1 species
UCUCAACAUCUCUGGAAC